AGGAAACCAUUAAGGGGGUUCAGAACAUGUAACUUGGUUAGGUUGUUUGUUUGACAAAGGAACACAUUGGAAGAAUUUUGCCAAAGUUUGCCACUUCACACUUGACGCUUAAACUUUAUAAUACACUGCUUUGAUUUGAAUCAAUCAGCCAUCUAUAAAUCAGUCAGUUUUACCAAAUUACCGGAUUAACCUACCUGCUUGCCUGCUUAACCACCUGCCUGCCUAUUUACUGUCUGCCUGCCGUAUCGCCUGACACAUCAAGGAUAACAUUGGCGAAAAAAAACCUGCAGUGAAGCAUACGUGUUUGUUGGAGAGUAAAGGAUACAAGGUGUGUAUUUGAAUCUCCAGACAUCAGAUCAAAAUGUCAAUUGACCUACUCUGCUUUGUUGAGAAGCUGAAAACAGGACAAAUGACUUUAUAUCUAAUUGUUAUUUCACUUUGGGGGAAUGACGACCCGGGAGAGUGAAGACAACAACACGAAGCGCGUUAUUCUGCAUCUAAAGAGACAAGUGUGUUGGCCCUCCAACCUUUCACUUGUUGGGCUGCAGACCAGACAAAGCUCGUCUGUGGCCCCUGAGUGGAAACACAUG
ensembl:lncRNA